GACUCAACCGUGAGUUUUUGAGCUUACUAGCAUAAUGCUCCGUAGUCAACUAGCGUAAAUACAUAAAAAACGAUAUCCCAUUGUUUGUUCGUGUCAUAUACUUGAGAGGUCUCUCAAAAGUCAAUUUUCAUUCGAUAAACACAUGUUACUAUUGCUAUUAUUAUAAUAAUAUGUAUUUUGAGAUAACCUAUCGACCGUCAUUGUUUCAGUCGAUUUUUUGUUCACGCCAUCGAUCAUAGACAAAAACUAUUCUUACAAAUAUUGUGAUUUGAAUUUUCAAACUCGUGUUCGUGUUCUAGAACUUUUCAAACGUUUUUAUUUAGAUUUGAACUGUUAAUAUAUAUUUUUUCUUCUUUAAAUAUCAGGUUUCUUAUUCCAAAAUUAGAUAUUGAUACGCUUUAAGUUGUUUUAAAUUGUUACAUAAGAUCCCACUUGGACAGUUUUGCUUACAACAUCGACACAUAUUUGAGAAAGUUUAUUUAAGUUCAAAUUAGAAUUUAAGCUUAGAAGCCCAUUCUAGUGCCAUGUGUGUACUGUUAUAAUUUUUUUAUAACCGAACAGUCAGGACUUGGAAUCUAGGUAUCUACCUGAUAUUACAGCUCUGAAGCUGAAAAGAUUGAAGAUUGCAAUAGGAAAGAAUCACGAAUGUUGUGGUCACAAGAAUAACAUGGAAGUAAGUAUUUUCCGAGCCCUUAAAAAAAUACCACUUCACCUAUCACCUCUUCGGUAGUAAACAUGGCGCUUAUGUUAAACUAAUGAAUUUUCAGAAUACAGUUUCCGAAGAAAAAACACAUCAUCGAUAGUAAUAAUUUCUAUUAAUCGCAUAUUUACAUACAAACACCUCAGAAACUAUGAGCUCUCAACAUUUUAUCUCCACAGUUUCUAUGAAACAUCCACCAUUUAAUGGUCAGGUAUUUUAAUAGUUUGCAAACACGAUCAUUGCAUACAUUACAUAAAUUAACAAUAAAUAUAUUCAACGGGUUUUCUGUAUUCCCACAAACCUUAUUAGCAUUUUCCGAUGAUUCAAUCGAAGAAUUUUUAAUGUAUCAAUAACAUUUCUGUGAAAUAGGUCAUUGGAAGAAACCUCUGAGCUUGGAAAAUAAUCAAAAUAUAACUAUUUUAGUUUCCUUUCAUGAUCGUUCCGUUAUAAAGGAGGUAAUCAACUUUGUCGAACUAAAAAUGUGCUUAUAAUAAAUUAAAUUACAGUAAUCUUUUGUAAAGAAAUUAUAUUUCCGAAAUAACAUUAAUUUUCCUAAUUUUCGGUUAGGAAAUAGAUUUUAUCAAUUAUAUUGAGAAAAUUAAGUAAAUUGAACAUAGCAAAAUCAAAAGAUGGAUAAAAACAGUUCCAUUCUAGUUCGAACUUACCAUUAUUUGAUGUUCGUCAUAUCUAUAAGAUCUUGUCUUUAUGCAACUAUUUCCACUAUAAUUUGUAGCAUAAAGCUUCCAUUAAUUUUAUCGACAACCUUUGCAUUGUCCCAGAAUCAGAAUAUGAAUUUGUUAAACAUAAGUGCAUGUAAGGCACUGCAGAGCAGAUUCCUCUUCUCAUAUAGACAAGGAAUAAGUUUUAACCACCACGCUUCCUCAAAGAGAUUUCAGACUUACCUUACUAUAAUUAGUACAAUAUUAGUAAGCAUAACUGGUAAACAUAUCGCUCACCUAGCAGUAUAAUGACACAUCUACUUUUUUCUUAUUUUACAGAAACGAGGGUCAAAGAUUUUGCAAACGUUUGAAACGAGGUUAUGACUUCAUUUUAUAUUUUAUCUUAUAUUUUAUGGUUUUAACAACUAACGCCGUGCCGUUUUACCACUUUAUAAAUUAUACACUUUUAAACACUUAGGCCGUAAAAACCCAAUUUCGCUUUUUUUGUAAAUGUGCCAUUAUACUACUAGGUGAGCGAUAUGAUAUAUGGUAAGUACAGUAGUUACUAAGCUAGAAAAAUAAAGCCCUUCUUUAUUCUGAACUAUCAUAGCCAAGUUAUUACCUAACUCCACACAAAGAUAAUUGUCUACUACAACUCCAAUUAUUGUCUUAGCAACUAAAUUAAUGAUUACACUUAGAAUUAAUUAGUCCAUUGUUGAAUACUAUGAAAAAGGUCCAGAGUAUUAAAACAAUGAGUUAAUGAGUCUCAAUAAGUAACUGUCAAGCUGAUUGAUUCAUAAAUGAGUUCUCGGAAAAAAUCAUAAAAUAAUGUGAAUAGAGAAAACUUCUUUGAACAAGUUUUAAGAAAGUAUUUCUGGUUGAAAAGGUCAUGUCAUAUUUGACCGUUUCUAUUUCCUAAAACACUGACCUAUUAAGAUAAUUUUUAUCUCUUAAUAUUUUAUUUAAGUAAUUCUAAAAAUAUACCCUUUUAUCUCUCGUAACCGCAAAAGUCUUAAAAUACAUUCACAAACACUAAGAAAACCAAAUGUAAUUAUGGUUGAAAUAAAUCUUACAUUUAUUAUGAAAAAAAUGUAAACAAAACUUGAGGUUUUCCCUACUGGACCUACGGCGAAAUCGUUUCUAUUUACUGUGGGAAAAUUAGCUUGUUAAAUAAUAAAAUCAUUAUAUAACACAACCUACUUGAGAAAAAGGAUGUGAAUUUUCUUAUUUUGAAUAAUAAUUACCAACAACUAUAAAAUGCGUAGUAUUAAGGCGUUCCAAUAUAUAAAAAUUUCAAAGAAAAAAAAAAGGACGUCAGAGUGUGACACGCCCGUUCUUCAUAAGACGACGUCCAAUUACUUGGCAUCAAAACAAAAAGCCGCUAUGACGUCCACAGCCGACCAAUGUUUGAACUCCGGCUGACCUAAGCGCACGCGCAAUCUUUAUAUAAAAGGAGUGGGAGGUGCACCGCCUCACAACAAACUGAACGCUCACAGCGAACAGACGUGUUGACUUUAAAAUUUACAAUUAAAAACAAUCAAAAUGUACACAAACCCUUUCGAGAGGAAACAUUCGUCGUUGAGGCAAGCCCUUGACCGCUUCAUCCGUGGGGAGACGAGGAUCAGCUUCAGGAAGAAGACGGAUUUAUCCAAGUCUUCGAGUAGCAGCACAUCAUCCAUGGUGUCUUCGACCAUGGAUUACAAGCCCAAGUUCAAUGAGAAGAGGUGAAGAGACAGUGCGUGUGUGUUGUGAUAGUGAAAUAUUUUUGCCAGUUCCACUCUCUGAACAGGUCGAGUGAGUUGCAGACCGGUUGAGUGACGCCAGCAGGCCCAGUGGACAUGGGACUUUACCCGCUAAAAUGAAUGAAUAAACAUUUGUUCCUUUUUUGAAA